UUGUCUCUUGCUCUCCUCUCGUGGCUCGUACCCGCUAUGCAUAGGAUGGCUCGGUUCGUCUGUUCUUCGCGUCAGUCGUCGCCACAUAUCCUGCCCGUGCUUGAAGAGGACGCCUCGUUCGCCGCACUUCUCGAAAGAGGUUCGUAUUUCAUCAAGCGGACAGCGUAUGUGCCGUACUGAACGUGCAGUGUUUGCGAAAUUGCAUAUCGAGUUCCCACCCACUGCUCGGAAUCCUCGGCCACCAGUGCGCAGAGAGAAGGCGGCCAUAGGCGUUCUUCCUGUCCAGCGUUCUUGUACAGCGAACGCGAUCUCGCAAGCGAUUCGCCACGGGCACUGUUGCAAGCCUGCAGCUGCACCGGGAGAAGAGAUUACGCACCGAAGAGACGCACGGGACCAUGUAUAUCGCUUCACCGCAUGAUCUGGAGAGCGGAGGGUUACGGGGGACUGCCGAUGCUGCACACAUCGAGA